rnacentral:lncRNA from 1 species
CACUCAAGGUCAAAAGUCACAAAAAUAGCACUUAAUAUUUUAUCAAAAGUCACAAACUUAGGAUUUAGAGUUAAAGGGUGGGGUUUAGGAUUUAGGGUUUAUGGUUUAGGGUUUAGAGUUUAGGGUUUAGGGUUUAGAAUUUAGGGUUUAAGGUUUAGGGUUUAGGGUUUAGGGUUUAGAGUUUAGAGUUUAGGGUUUAGAUUUUAGGGUUUAGGGUUUAGGGUUUAGAGUUUAGGGUUUAGGGUUUAGGGUUUAGGGUUUAGAGUUGAGAAAUGAGGUUUUGGGAUAAGAUUUCAAAUUUUGAAAAAUAAAAAAAUUAAAAUUUUCAAAGGAUAAACUUAGAAAGGUGCUAUUUUGGUUAUUUUAGUUUUUGAGU